UUGCUUCAGCAGCACGCAUACUAAAAUUGGAAAGCUACAGGGAAGAUUCUGUAAAGAUGUGCACAAGGAUGACACAAAAGUUCAUGAAAUGUUCCAUAUUUUU